rnacentral:rRNA from 1 species
UACGUAGGGUGCGAGCGUUAAUCGGAAUUACUGGGCGUAAAGCGUGCGCAGGCGGUUCGUUGUGUCGGCGGUGAAAGCCCCGGGCUUAACCUGGGAAUGGCCGUUGAAACUGGCGAACUGGAGUGUGGCAGAGGGGGUGGAAUUCCGCGUGUAGCAGUGAAAUGCGUAGAGAUGCGGAGGAACACCGAUGGCGAAGGCAGCCCCCUGGCUAACACUGACGCUCGAGGCACGAAGCGUGGGAGCGAAACAG